UACAGAGGGUGCGAGCGUUAAUCGGAAUUACUGGGCGUAAAGCGUGCGCAGGCGGUUUUGUAAGCCAGAUGUGAAAUCCCCGGGCUUAACCUGGGAAUGGCGUUUGAAACUACGGAGCUGGAGUGUGGCAGAGGGAGGUAGAAUUCCACGUGUAGCGGUGAAAUGCGUAGAUAUGUGGAGGAAUACCGAUGGCGAAGGCAGCCUCCUGGGCCAACACUGACGCUCAUGCACGAAAGCGUGGGGAGCAAACAGG
rnacentral:rRNA from 1 species